rnacentral:rRNA from 1 species
UGGGGAAUAUUGCACAAUGGGCGGAAGCCUGAUGAAGCGACGCCGCGUGGGGGAUGAAGGCCUUCGGGUUGUAAACUCCUUUCGACAGGGACGAAGCUUUUGUGACGGUACCUGUAUAAGAAGCACCGGCUAACUACGUGCCAGCAGCCGCGGUAAUACGUAGGGUGCGAGCGUUGUCCGGAAUUACUGGGCGUAAAGAGCUCGUAGGUGGUUUGUCGCGUCGUCUGUGAAAUUCCGGGGCUUAACUCCGGGCGUGCAGGCGAUACGGGCUGACUUGAGUGCUGUAGGGGAGACUGGAAUUCCUGGUGUAGCGGUGAAAUGCGCAGAUAUCAGGAGGAACACCGAUGGCGAAGGCAGGUUACUGGGCAGUUACUGACGCUGAGGAGCGAAAGCAUGGGUAGCGAACAGG